CCCUUAGAUGUUCUGGGCCACACGCGUGCUACACUGAGUAAUUCAAUGGGUAAGGGAACGCUAGAGCAUUACCUAAUCUUGAAAUUUGCUCGUGAUGGGGAUCGACGGUUGCAAUUUUCCGUCGUGAACGAGGAAUACCUUGUAGGCGCAUGUCAUCAUCAUGCGCCGAAUACGUCCCUGCCCUUUGUACACACCGCCCGUCGCUCCUACCGAUUGAGUGAUCCGGUGAGGCUCUGGGACCUGGACGGAAAGAGCGUUUCGCUUGUUCUGUUUGGGAAACUUGGUCGAACCUUAUCAUUUAGAGGAAGGAGAAGUCGUAACA
rnacentral:rRNA from 1 species